AACAAGUGUAGUUUGAAAAAAGAAACUUGUUAUCUGUUUGUAGCAAACCCUAGACCGACCAAUAUCAAGAUUUUAAUGAGAAGAUGCUUAUCAUGUCACAAGUAAAUAGUUUAGUUGCGGACAUUUCAUGGUAUGGGUUAAAAGGUUAAAAAAAAAUAAAAUAAAAUAAAAUAAACGAUCGAGGAGCCAAACAUUGUUGACGGUCAAAGACAUAUAACGAUAAAACCAACCCAUCCCCGAGAUUUUAAAACAUGGCAUGUGUUGUCUCGCAAUCUCUGUUUUUUUUUUCAUUUUACAUAACAAAUGUAUAAAAUAAUAAUCAUAACUCAUUUUUUUAAUACUUAUAGAUUGAUGGAACCAUAUAUACAAUUACUAGUGGAACAGUGUAAAGACGAUGUUCCAAAGAUUUUCA
rnacentral:lncRNA from 1 species